rnacentral:rRNA from 1 species
AAUAUUGCAAAAUGGGCGUAAGCCUGAUGCAGCAACGCCGCGUGAGUGAUGAAGGCCUUCGGGUCGUAAAGCUCUUUGUUCAGGGAAGAUAAUGACAGUACCUGAAAAACACACAACGGCUAACUACGUGCCUGCAGCCGCGGUAAUACGUAGGUGGCGAACGUUGUACGGAAUUACUGGGCGGAAAGGGUGCGUAGGUGGAUACUUAAGUGGGAUGUGAAAUCCCCGGGCUCAACCCGGGAACUGCGUUCCAAACUGGGUAUCUAGAAUGCAGGAGAGGAAAGCGGAAUUCCUAGUGUAACGGUGAAAUGCGUAGAUAUUAGGAGGAACACCAGUGGCGAAGGCGGCUUUCUGGACUGUAACUGACACUGAGGCAUGAAAGCGUGGGUAGCAAACAGG